rnacentral:rRNA from 1 species
GUAGGGUGCAAGCGUUAAUCGGAAUUACUGGGCGUAAAGCGUGCGCAGGCGGUUAUGCAAGACAGAUGUGAAAUCCCCGGGCUCAACCUGGGAACUGCAUUUGUGACUGCAUGACUAGAGUACGGCAGAGGGAGAUGGAAUUCCGCGUGUAGCAGUGAAAUGCGUAGAUAUGCGGAGGAACACCGAUGGCGAAGGCAAUCUCCUGGGCCUGUACUGACGCUCAUGCACGAAAGCGUGGGGAGCAAACAGGAUUAGAUACCCUGGUAGUCCACGCCCUAAACGAUGUCAACUGGUUGUUGGACGGCUUGCUGUUCAGUAACGAANCUAACGCGUGAAGUUGACCGCCUGGGGAGU